UUGGGCUAAUCCCCCUCAACUUCUAUUAAGGGAAUUUUGAAGAUUAUUUUUAGAAGCCUUCACAGGCUAUUUGGUUGUAGAAUAGAUUUAUAAAAGGACAUAGUUAUUGAUAUUUAUUUACUUUAUAAUUUUUAGUUUAAAUAUAUCAAAUUUGAGAAAUUUACAAUUCACUGCUCUUGAUAUUACGGGCAAGAAUUACCUAUCUUGGAU
rnacentral:lncRNA from 1 species